UGAGAUUUUUUUUUCUUCCUAGAAACGGCGACUUGAACAUAGUAAAAAUGUAAAUACGGAAAAACUACGAGCCCCUGUUAUUUGUGUACUUGGACAUGUGGACACAGGGAAGACAAAAAUUCUAGAUAAGCUCCGUCACACGCAUGUACAGGAUGGUGAAGCAGGUGGUAUCACCCAGCAAAUUGGCGCCACCAAUGUUCCCCUUGAAGCUAUUAAUGAACAGACUAAGAUGAUUAAA